rnacentral:rRNA from 1 species
AAAAGCCUGACGGCGUGCCUAAACAUGCAAGUCGAGCGAAUCGAUGGGAGCUUGCUCCCUGAGAUUAGCGGCGGACGGGUGAGUAACACGUGGGCAACCUGCCUAUAAGACUGGGAUAACUUCGGGAAACCGGAGCUAAUACCGGAUACGUUCUUUUCUCGCAUGAGAGAAGAUGGAAAGACGGUUUACGCUGUCACUUAUAGAUGGGCCCGCGGCGCAUUAGCUAGUUGGUGAGGUAAUGGCUCACCAAGGCGACGAUGCGUAGCCGACCUGAGAGGGUGAUCGGCCACACUGGGACUGAGACACGGCCCAGACUCCUACGGGAGGCAGCAGUAGGGAAUCUUCCGCAAUGGACGAAAGUCUGACGGAGCAACGCCGCGUGAACGAAGAAGGCCUUCGGGUCGUAAAGUUCUGUUGUUAGGGAAGAACAAGUACCAGAGUAACUGCUGGUACCUUGACGGUACCUAACCAGAAAGCCACGGCUAACUACGUGCCAACACCGCGGUAAUACGUAUGUGGCAA